UACGUAGGCAGCGAGCGUUGUUCGGAAUUACUGGGCGUAAAGGGCUCGUAGGCGGCCAACUAAGUCAGACGUGAAAUCCCUCGGCUUAACCGGGGAACUGCAUCUGAUACUGGAUGGCUUGAGAUUGGGAGAGGGAUGCGGAAUUCCAGGUGUAGCGGUGAAAUGCGUAGAUAUCUGGAGGAACACCGGUGGCGAAGGCGGCAUCCUGGACCAACACUGACGCUGAGGAGCGAAAGCCAGGGGAGCAAACGGG
rnacentral:rRNA from 1 species